rnacentral:tRNA from 1 species
AGUUUUAAUAAUUUAAAUAAAAUAUUGGUUUUGUAAACCAAAAUUAAGUAUAUACUUUUAAAACUUC